AACGGUUCACUGAUUGUUGAAGCAGAAGCAUUUAGAAACAUGGAAAAUCUUAGAUUGCUUAUUCUUCAAAAUGCAGCAAAAUUGCCUACAAAUAUAUUCAAGUAUUUACCUAAUAUUAAGUGGAUUGAGUACUCAUCAUCUAGUGUUCGAUGGUAUUUCCCUAUAAGCUUUGUUGUGAAUGGCGGGCUAGUUGGACUAGUCAUAAAUGGUGUAUCCAACAAACAUCCAGGGAUUAUAUUUGAGGAUUGCAAAAUGUUGAAGCAUGUUGAUCUGAGUUAUUGGCGGUUAUUAGAGGAAACCCCUGACUUCUCUGCAGCAUUAAACCUUGAAAAAUUAUAUCUUUUAAGUUGCAAACGUUUAAAAAUGAUUCAUGGAUCUGUUGCUUCUCUUAGUAAGCUUGUUACCUUGGACCUCGAAGGCUGUGAAAAUCUAGAAAAGCUUCCAAGUAGCUUCCUCAUGUUAAAGUCUCUUGAAGUUUUGAAUCUAAGUGGAUGCAUAAAGCUAAAAGAAAUUCCUGACUUAUCGGCAUCGUCAAACCUUAAAGAACUACAUCUUAGAGAAUGCUAUCACUUGAGAAUAAUUCACGACUCUGCAGUUGGACGCUUUCUUGAUAAACUUGUUAUCCUGGACCUUGAAGGAUGUAAAAUUCUUGAAAGGCUUCCAAGAUACAUCAGCAACUCAAAGUCUAUUGAAGUUAUGAAUCUUGAUUCAUGCCGAAAGAUCGAACAACUUUUUGACAACUAUUUUGAAAAGUUUCCAAGCCACCUCAAGUUCGAAUCUCUUAAAGUUUUGAAUCUUAGUUAUUGUCAAAAUCUUAAGGAAAUUACUGACUUUUCAAUUGCAUCAAACCUUGAGAUAUUUGAUCUUAGGGGCUGCUUCUCUUUAAGAACGAUUCACAAGUCUGUUGGAUCUCUCGAUCAACUUAUUGCCUUAAAACUUGAUUUUUGCCAUCAACUUGAAGAGCUUCCUAGUUGCCUCAGAUUGAAGUCUCUUGAUUCUUUGAGUCUCACUAACUGUUAUAAGAUUGAACAACUUCCAGAAUUUGAUGAAAAUAUGAAGUCUUUGAGGGAGAUGAAUUUGAAAGGUACAGCCAUAAGGAAGUUACCCACAUCAAUUAGAUAUCUUAUUGGGCUUGAGAAUUUGAUCCUUAGUUAUUGCACAAACCUGAUUUCUCUUCCAAGUGAAAUUCAUUUGUUAAAGAGUCUUAAGGAACUUGAUCUUCGAGAGUGUUCUAGACUCGACAUGCUUCCCUCGGGAUCAAGCUUAAACUUUCCCCAACGAAGCUUAUGUUCAAACUUGACUAUAUUGGAUCUACAAAAUUGCAACAUAUCAAAUUCAGAUUUUUUGGAAAAUUUAUCUAAUUUCUGCACUACCUUGAAGGAGCUAAAUUUGUCCGGAAACAAAUUCUGUUGUCUACCUUCUCUCAAAAAUUUUACAUCAUUGAGGCUUCUUGAACUAAGAAAUUGUAAGUUUCUUCGAAACAUUGUGAAGAUUCCACAUUGUUUAAAACGAAUGGAUGCUAGUGGUUGCGAAUUGUUGGUAAUAAGCCCCGACUACAUUGCCGAUAUGAUGUUCAGAAAUCAGGACCUUAAGUUAAGGAACUUCAAAAGAGAGCUAAUCGUAACGUACAGCGAGAUCCCGAAAUUCUGCAACAAUCAAACCACAGAAAGUUCAAUAAGUUUUAGCUUUCAACAUAAUUCAGAUAUGAUUAUACCUGCUUUGGUUGUGUGUGUUGUUUUCAAAGUGGAUGCAGAUUCAUUUGUUGCUGAGGCUUUUAUUCAUUUUCAAGUAUUGUUUGAUGGUCAAAAGCUUAUGAUGCCUACUAUGGAAAGUUGGUGUGGGUCAAAAUCAGAGCAUAUGUUGUUACUAAGAACUCCUCCAUCACAGUUGAUAUGCUUGAAUGAGAAUAAUCGACACAAAAUCGAAGUCUCGUUUCAGGUUCGGAAUUAUAAUAAAAAGGCUAAAGUUAUUAUAAGAAGCCUGGGUGUGUAUGUUGUUGAUGACCUUUUUGAGCAUUACAAAUGAUAAUUGAGGUCAAGAAAAAAAGGAAAGGGAUAGUUCAGUGAGUGAUCAUACACCAUUAUUCCCAAUUUUUAUUGUUUUUCAUUUUUAUUGAAUGUUUUUAUAAUGUAAGAUUUUGUUGUUCUGUCAA